ensembl:lncRNA
AAAACUUUCUCUUGUGUGGCAGGUAUUUAGAUCAGAGCAACACAGAUCCCUAAAGGUAUCUAUUCAGCUCUGGGAACAAAAAACAAACAAAAGCAACAAGUGGACAGUAUAUGGUGACAUAAGGACUUUUAUUAGAAAGCAGAUUUUUCUGUAUUGCAUUUAAAGAAAUCAGGUACUCUUGGACUAUACAACUUAAAACUGGUGAUGGCAAAUACCAUGAUGGGAAUGAAAGGUAGAUUCAUAUGCAACAUCAAAAGUGGCAACUUGCAUUUCUGUUGUAUAUAUUAUUGAUGCUUGAGUCAGAAGGCGCAUAAACAUUUUAACAUUUUUCAAUUGAAACAUAAAGCAGUAUCGACACUGAAAUUGUCCCAUCCCAGUUUGCCUGGUCCAAGCCCUGUUGAUAGUGAAGAACAUUACCAUGAUCAAAGUGUAGAGUUGCAUGAUAAGAUCCUCUUUUUUACCAUUUGCAUUGUUGUCCAUCAAGAGGUUACCAAUGAGCCCGGACUGAGGGCCGAGUUCGGCCAAUGCUUACCAGAGCAUGACAGAUAUGGUCCAUGUCAACAUGGUUGCUCUGUUCACGAAGCACCAAGGUAUGAGUCAGUCGUUGUUACAAAGACACACACUUAUAACCAAGAAGCCUGGAGUUAACAUCACCGUGUCCCUCCCCUCUGGAGAGCAAGCUUGCACAGACCAAAGCAAGCAGGAGAAAGACAAAGCAAAUAGCAAGAGCACAGCAAGUCAUGUCAUAUCUCCCAUAGUGCACUUUGGGUCUCAUCCAUUAUCUGAUUGUCAGCGCUCUGAACACAUGGCUUUAAAAGUUGCAUUUACCCCUCAUUUGCUAAACCCUUGGUCACUCUUGAUGUUUUUCUUUCUCAUUUUUCAAAGUAGUUCUAAAGUGCUGGCAUUAUGUUCAAGGACACAUACAUACACGUACAAACUUUUAGUGCAUUUUUUUUCUGAGUCUGCUGAAGGUUCAAAUGCACACUCAACUGGGUAGUUAAGUCUAUGUAUUCCGCUCUUUAUCACUACUUUGCUGUCAUCAUUACAGGAGAUUGCACAAACAUUCAACGAAAGGCGUGGGUGUAUAAUAAAAAUACAGCCCUGCUCACUGCAAGACUCCUCGGUCUUUGUUUGCUAACAGUGACAACAGUUGUUCAGCAUAAAAUACAUGGUGCAUAAAGAUCAGAGGUUUCAUUGGGUUACGGGUGAGUGUCUGAAUGGCAUGCAUUUUUAUGAUACAAGUGUCUAUUUGCAUAUAAAUGUAUUGUUUUCAGGAAAAUAAGCCCAUUAAACAGAACAAAAAAAUUUUUGUGCCCAUUAGGUUUACAGUAAUGGGGGAUGAACAGAGCACUAUGAGAGGUUUAAUAAAUUAUGGAAAAAUUUAUUUGCAACCAAAUGUUUGUGAAAAUAACUUCUUUUUCAAGUAACAACCCCAUUCUAUUCUUAUUUUGUCAUUCCCAUCCAGGUGAAUAAGUAAAUGAGACACUGGUCUGAAUUUAAAAAAAAAACGUGUACAACACAUAUUAUCACAUACAUUUUCCAGGACUUUCUCUUUCAGCCACCUCAAAUAGAGCACAUCCUCCAAAGGGUUAGCCAUGACAUUCUCUGAGAAUUUCUCAGUUUAUAGUGCAACAUCGUUCAAUUUACCCUGCACAAGAAAAAAAAGAAAACACCCUAAGCAAUCUAAAAUGACUGGCUGUCGUCCGGGAGUCAGACAUAGUUUGCAGUUUGGCAGAAAAAAUGAACAAGCUUGUAGAAGCUGAUGUUUUAUAAGACAGACACCUUAAAUAACCUCAAGCUUAAUGUGAUCAAGUGGAUGAACAGGUUUGACUGGAAGAAUUAUCAUAUAUCAGAUUUCCUUUUAUGUUUUUAAAGUCAAUCUUAGAGAGAACCAAGGAUCCAUGUUGUUGAAGAGUAACUGUUGAAUCUGUUGUAACGACUUUAGCUUAAUUUGGCUGCUGAUCUAGUACACUUUGUCUUUUUUAAAAAAUUCUAUGUUCUAAAACAUAAAAUAAGAAAAUAUGUAAUUGAACUAUUUAAAGUUUUUGGACACUAAUUUUACAAUUUUGAAUCACAGUGUUAAUAAGGCAACAAAUUUGUCAGUGUCUGUAUUCUCUGAUUACAGAGCAGGUCCUUGGUGUUGUUUGUCUCCAAACAUAAAGUUCUGUUACACAUCCACACCCACACAUUCACAGUCUAAGGCACUGCUCCACCCUCUUACAGUAGACUCCAUCAAUGUUUCCCACUCUAUAUUGUUUACUGCUUUAUUUUAAUUCGAGCUGAUAGAUGUGAUAUUUCAAUAUAUUCUCAUAUAAUUAUUGGCUAUGCAAUGUUCUGCUCAUUCAAAAAGAUCCUUGUAAGGCAAAGAUUUCCUGUACAUGCAAAUACAAAGAGAGAAAUCAUGCAUGCAUACUUAGGGUUUAGAUUUUUGUAUGGCGGGUAGAUACAUUUGAUUGCUAUUUUGCAAUCUAAAGUAAUAACUGUGCAUUUAGUUCAACUCCAAAAUAUACACAAAUCCAUUUUGAAAAGGCUCAGCUUGGGUUCACAAAACCAGAAGUGAUUAGUAAUUAAGAUAUUGGGCUCAACAGACAACUGAAAUUCUUUAUUUUCGUACAAGGGAAAGUUAAGUUGAAUAAAUUAAAAAUGAUAUAAAGAUAGAAUUAGCCAAAGCUUGUGAUUCAACAUUAGGAACACAUAAGUGUUGAGAUAAAGAUUUUAAAAAAAGUAAAAAAAAAAAAGAAAUGAAAGAAAAAAGCCUGUAUUUGAACCUCACUCAGUUUUGCUCAUAUUAGUGAAAUGCUACCUGCGGUUCAUUACAUUGGAAGACCUUUUCACAUCACUUUAAAAAUCACUAAAGCUUUAGGUAAAGAACAUCACUCAGCCUCACAGUCAGAUCAAUUUGAUGUUAUGGCCCAUUUUGCAAUUGAAAAAAAACUGAGUCAUAUAUAAAUAAAAAAAAGAUUCAAUAUUUUACCAAAUUCAAUCAAGGCUUGGACCCUCACCAAAGCAGUGCUACAGUUUACAUUCAUCCAUCAUCUCAGCCAUUCCAUCACAGCCGUGUUUGAUCUAUCGCAGAUCUCAUUUCUUCCAAAAGAAAUUCAAAAAAGAUACUGUAAACGUCAUUAUUAUUACCUAGUGCAAUUACAACCCUGUGUUUCUUGUGCAGGGCCAUCUUAAAGCUCCCCCGAAACAAGAUACCUCGAGCACAGACAGAGAAUAAUCUGGCCCAACCUUUAGAAGUGGCACAGCAGUGAAGCAUCAACAAACAGAUCACAUGUAUAAGGGGCAUAUACAAGUGCUGUACUUCCCGCCCAGUUCUAAAUUUAUGCGACCACUUUCCGAAGCAGAAAAAAUAUGAUUAAUUUGAUUUUUCACUUUUCAAAAUGUUGGUGGCUUAAAAUAAAUUUCAGCUCAUUCACUUAAAAUAAUGGUCUGGUCUUGUGAUUAAAUGUGCUUUCAUUGCUGAUCGGGAAAUACAAAAAACAAAAAUGCAGAAAAGCAACAGUGAAUCUUUUCAAAUCAAUGCACGAAACAAUAAAGGCUGUCUGGACUGUGUCCUAUGCAUGGCAAAAAGCACGAAAACAUAUUUAAAAAACAGAAAACGCUUACGACAAAUACAGGUUUAAGUCCCUGUCCGACCUGGCCUCACUCCCCCUUACAAAAUAAAAGAAACAGUCAUCGUCAGAAAGACCUGUUGUUUCUUUCCAAACCCACAAUCCCCCGAUCAGAGAAAGAAUCAGGGUGAUGAGGUGGAAAUCUGCAGUCUUUUUUAGUCCAGGCCCAUUUUGCCAAACUCCUCAGUUUCCCACCCUUUAACCUUCUCAAGUGCAAAUGCAAUAAGCCAGCAUAAAUUGCUCUUAUAAGUUUUAUUCAAUA